AAUCCAUAGGUUAAUGAGGCGAACCGGGGGAACUGAAACAUCUAAGUACCCCGAGGAAAAGAAAUCAACCGAGAUUCCCCCAGUAGCGGCGAGCGAACGGGGAGGAGCCCAGAGCCUGAAUCAGCAUGUGUGUUAGUGGAAGCGUCUGGAAAGGCGCGCGAUACAGGGUGACAGCCCCGUACACAAAAGCGCAUGUGCUGUGAGCUCGAUGAGUAGGGCGGGACACGUGGUAUCCUGUCUGAAUAUGGGGGGACCAUCCUCCAAGGCUAAAUACUCCUGACUGACCGAUAGUGAACCAGUACCGUGAGGGAAAGGCGAAAAGAACCCCGGCGAGGGGAGUGAAAAAGAACCUGAAACCGUGUACGUACAAGCAGUGGGAGCACCCUUUGGGGUGUGACUGCGUACCUUUUGUAUAAUGGGUCAGCGACUUAUAUUCUGUAGCAAGGUUAACCGAAUAGGGGAGCCGGAGGGAAACCGAGUCUUAAUUGGGCGUUAAGUUGCAGGGUAUAGACCCGAAACCCGGUGAUCUAGCCAUGGGCAGGUUGAAGGUUGGGUAACACUAACUGGAGGACCGAACCGACUAAUGUUGAAAAAUUAGCGGAUGACCUGUGGCUGGGGGUGAAAGGCCAAUCAAACCGGGAGAUAGCUGGUUCUCCCCGAAAGCUAUUUAGGUAGCGCCUCGUGAAUUCAUCUCCGGGGGUAGAGCACUGUUUCGGCUAGGGGGCCAUCCCGGCUUACCAACCCGAUGCAAACUGCGAAUACCGGAGAAUGUUAUCACGGGAGACACACGGCGGGUGCUAACGUCCGUCGUGAAGAGGGAAACAACCCAGACCGCCAGCUAAGGUCCCAAAGUCAUGGUUAAGUGGGAAACGAUGUGGGAAGGCCCAGACAGCCAGGAUGUUGGCUUAGAAGCAGCCAUCAUUUAAAGAAAGCGUAAUAGCUCACUGGUCGAGUCGGCCUGCGCGGAAGAUGUAACGGGGCUAAACCAUGCACCGAAGCUGCGGCAGCGAACGUAUCACUUAAAGCGAUUCAGCGGGUUACGAUUGACGGAGCGAAGCGACGUCAAAGCGUAUACAAAGUCGAGUCGGUUUAAGGAUACGUU
rnacentral:rRNA from 2 species